AGUGAACGCUGGCGGUAUGCCUAACACAUGCAAGUCGAACGGCAGCACAGUAAGAUCUUGCUCUUACGGGUGGCGAGUGGCGGACGGGUGAGGAAUACAUAGGAAUCUACUUUUUCGUGGGGGAUAACGUAGGGAAACUUACGCUAAUACCGCAUACGACCUACGGGUUAAAGCAGGAGAUCUUCGGACCUUGCGCGAUUGAAUGAGCCGAUGUCGGAUUAGCUAGUUGGCGGGGUAAAGGCCCACCAAGGCGACGAUCCGUAGCUGGUCUGAGAGGAUGAUCAGCCACACUGGAACUGAGACACGGUCCAGACUCCUACGGGAGGCAGCAGUGGGGAAUAUUGGACAAUGGGCGAAAGCCUGAUCCAGCCACACCGCGUGAGUGAAGAAGGCCUUCGGGUUGUAAAGCCCUGUUGUUGGGAAAGAAAAGCAGCAGGUGAAUACCCCGCUGUUCUGACGGUACCCAAAGAAUAAGCACCGGCUAACUUCGUG
rnacentral:rRNA from 1 species